AUUGAACGCUGGCGGCAUGCCUAACACAUGCAAGUCGAGCGAGCGGCGGACGGGUGAGUAAUAUAUGGGGACCUGCCCGGUAGCGGGGGAUAACUACUGGAAACAGUGGAUAAUACCGCAUACUAUUGGAGCAACCAAUCUGGUAUUAGCUAGUUGGUGGGGUAAAGGCUCCCCUAGGCGACGAUCUGUAGCUGGUUUGAGAGGAUGAUCAGCCACACUGGGACGUAGCCACGGCCCAGACUCCUACGGGAGGCAGCAGUGGGGAAUAUUGGACAUUGGGGGCAAGCCUGAUGCAGCCAUGCCGCGUGUAUGAAGAAGGCCUUAGGGUUGUAAAGUACUUUCAGCGGGGAGGCGGUACCCGCAGAAGAAGCACCGGCUAACUACGUGCCAGCAGCCGCGGUAAUAC
rnacentral:rRNA from 1 species